rnacentral:tRNA from 1 species
GGUGACGUGGCCGAGUGGCUGAAGGCAACGGUUUGCUAAAUCGUCAUACCUGAAAGGGUAUCGAGGGUUCGAAUCCCUCCGUCACCG